rnacentral:rRNA from 1 species
UACGAAGGGGGCUAGCGUUGUUCGGAAUUACUGGGCGUAAAGCGCACGUAGGCGGGUUGUUAAGUCAGGGGUGAAAUCCUGGAGCUCAACUCCAGAACUGCCUUUGAUACUGGCAACCUAGAGACUGGAAGAGGUUAGUGGAAUUCCCAGUGUAGAGGUGAAAUUCGUAGAUAUUGGGAAGAACACCAGUGGCGAAGGCGACUUCCUGGCCUGUUCUUGACGCUGAGGCGCGAAAGCUAGGGGAGCAAACGGGG